rnacentral:rRNA from 1 species
CAGGCCUAACACAUGCAAGUCGAACGGUAGCAGGAGAAAGCUUGCUUUCUUGCUGACGAGUGGCGGACGGGUGAGUAAUGCUUGGGAAUCUGGCUUAUGGAGGGGGAUAACUACGGGAAACUGUAGCUAAUACCGCGUAGAAUCGGGAGAUGAAAGUGCGGGACCGCAAGGCCGCAUGCCAUGAGAUGAGCCCAAGUGGGAUUAGGUAGUUGGUGGGGUAAAGGCCUACCAAGCCUGCGAUCUCUAGCUGGUCUGAGAGGAUGGCCAGCCACACUGGAACUGAGACACGGUCCAGACUCCUACGGGAGGCAGCAGUGGGGAAUAUUGCGCAAUGGGGGGAACCCUGACGCAGCCAUGCCGCGUGAAUGAAGAAGGCCUUCGGGUUGUAAAGUUCUUUCGGUAUUGAGGAAGGAGUGUAUGUUAAUAGCAUACAUUAUUGACGUUAAAUACAGAAGAAGCACCGGCUAACUCCGUGCCAGCAGCCGCGGUAAUACGGAGGGUGCGAGCGUUAAUCGGAAUAACUGGGCGUAAAGGGCACGCAGGCGGUUAUUUAAGUGAGGUGUGAAAGCCCCGGGCUUAACCUGGGAAUUGCAUUUCAGACUGGGUAACUAGAGUACUUUAGGGAGGGGUAGAAUUCCACGUGUAGCGGUGAAAUGCGUAGAGAUGUGGAGGAAUACCGAAGGCGAAGGCAGCCCCUUGGGAAUGUACUGACGCUCAUGUGCGAAAGCGUGGGGAGCAAACAGGAUUAGA